UGAAGCGGAAAAUAUAGAAAG
rnacentral:piRNA from 1 species